CCCUUAGAUGUUCUGGGCCGCACGCGCGCUACAAUGAUGAAUUCAACGAGUUUAUAACCUUGGUUGAAAAGCCUGGGUAAUCUUUUGAACUUUCGUCGUGAUGGGGCUAGACCCUUGCAAUUAUUGUUCUCCAACGAGGAAUUCCUAGUAAACGCAAGUCAUCAGCUUGCAUUGAUUACGUCCCUGCCCUUUGUACACACCGCCCGUCGCACCUACCGAUUGAAUGGUCCGGUGAAAUCUUCGGAUUGAGACUUUGAUUUCUUCACGGAAAACGCUGUUUUAAAAAGUUGAUUAAACCUUACCAUUUAGAGGAAGGUGAAGUCGUAACA
rnacentral:rRNA from 1 species